CUGACUAAUGCAGAAUUUUGACAUGAUGUUGAGUCAAUCAUAACACGUAUAACUUGCAUGGAGGCUGUCAUUUUGUUAUUUUUCAUUAUCUCUUACUCAUAUUUGAAUUGUGCUGGCCUUUGUUAUUGAACAAGAGUAUUAUACUUAUCAACGCGAAGAGACUAUUGUCAUGUUAAUUUGUGUGUUUAUUGUUUAAUAUGGUUCAUGCAUUUGUGGCAAUGCAAUCCCACGUAAGAUCAUGCAAAAUUCCCUGAGUUACCCAAUGAUGGACUCGACUGAUUAACAGCAUGCAUUGAAUUUUGUAUUAGACAAGGACUUGAUAAUUAUAUUUUAUGUUUAGUUUGUGUAUCUUUGGUCUUUCAUUAAACAUAAUAGAAAAUUUGGAUGUUUGAGUGUAGUUCCUGUUUGAUAAGCUACCUUUGAACACGGAUCAUUCGGUUUGAUAUCCCUGACAAAUUAUUUGGUUAUACAGACGAUGGAACAUAGUAGUCUAUUUGCAUAGUUCUUUAUAUGAAUGCAUCCGUUGGUAGUUUCACUCUUUUGUGGGCUUUUUGGCUUUCUAAAGCUAACCAAACUUUAAUUUCUUUCAUAGCAUGCGAUGUUUUCAUUUUCAAAUCAUCAGCUACAUAUGUUAAUCAUAAUUUAUACCAGACACUAAGUAGGGAUCAUCAUUUUGCUGAUUUUGCUAAUUCUAGGCUUCACUAGAUAUGUAAUAUUUAAUCACUUCCACACCUGUUAAAUUACAAUCUAUCCGGCCAAUAUAAUUUGGUACGUACUACUUAUUGUUGUUUGUCAAAUCAUUUUUUUACUCAUUGACAGAAUUACAAGGAGUGUGUUAGGUCACUGAUGGAAAUAUCGAAUCUAAAAUUAUUGGCAUAGUUUGUUGUAUUUGCUAUAGCAUGGUCUUUGCUCAAAUUGCUUCAAAUUUGGCUUAAUAUUGCAUUAUAACUUUAUUGUAGAAAUCCUGAUUUUGGCUUUAUUUCCUAGAAGAACAGAUAGUUACUCCAGACAACUUAUUUACUAUGGCCUCAUUUGGUAUCAUUACUGUUUCUAAAAUGCUUAUUCUGUGUGAUUGGAUGCACUGACGUAUGGACUUCUUUACUCUUGUCAUUUUGGAUAGCUUGUGAUGCCCCAGCCUUGUUCUGAAUGGCCUCUUAUUGAGGAAAACUAAAGAAAGAGAAGAAGAGGUUGCCUCUGAAUAUAAUGUUUUUCUUUACCAAACAAAUCCCACCAGUCCCCCUUCUGCUGGUGAACUUCGUUGGGUAUGAUUUGAGUUUAAAGAGCAAAUAAAACAACAAUGCUACAAAAU
rnacentral:lncRNA from 1 species